ACCAGUGAUUUGAGAUCGUAGCCAAGACAGCUUUUUCUCGGUGGAGUCAACCUUUGGCACAUCCAUCUCUAGAGCCCUGAAUGAUUCCGAGCCAUGGAAGAGUUUGCUGGAAACAUAGGAACGGCAUGUUGAUCCUGGUGACUUAUGCCUGUCCCUGGUUGAAGUCUUACUAUCAUUUGCUGCCUUCAAUUUCAGGGCUUCCGUUGUUUCUCUAAACAUGGGUUGCUCAAACUCCAUUUCCCACCUGGAAACAAAGAUUAGUGGCUGUUUUUAUUGUUGUUGUAGCUUAUGACAGGAGAAAGAAUGGAAAAAGUAGUUG
rnacentral:lncRNA from 1 species